AUUGAACGCUGGCGGCAGGCCUAACACAUGCAAGUCGAGCGGUAGCACAGAGAGCUUGCUCUCGGGUGACGAGCGGCGGACGGGUGAGUAAUGUCUGGGAAACUGCCUGAUGGAGGGGGAUAACUACUGGAAACGGUAGCUAAUACCGCAUAACGUCGCAAGACCAAAGUGGGGGACCUUCGGGCCUCAUGCCAUCAGAUGUGCCCAGAUGGGAUUAGCUGGUAGGUGGGGUAACGGCUCACCUAGGCGACGAUCCCUAGCUGGUCUGAGAGGAUGACCAGCCACACUGGAACUGAGAUACGGUCCAGACUCCUACGGGAGGCAGCAGUGGGGAAUAUUGCACAAUGGGCGCAAGCCUGAUGCAGCCAUGCCGCGUGUGUGAAGAAGGCCUUCGGGUUGUAAAGCACUUUCAGCGGGGAGGAAGGCAUUAAGGUUAAUAACCUUAGUGAUUGACGUUACCCGCAGAAGAAGCACCGGCUAACUCCGUGCCAGCCGCCGCCGUAACAC
rnacentral:rRNA from 1 species